CCUACGGGCGGCAGCAGUGGGGAAUAUUGCACAAUGGGGGAAACCCUGAUGCAGCGACGCCGCGUGAGCGAAGAAGUAUCUCGGUAUGUAAAGCUCUAUCAGCAGGGAAGAAAAUGACGGUACCUGACUAAGAAGCCCCGGCUAACUACGUGCCAGCAGCCGCGGUAAUACGUAGGGGGCAAGCGUUAUCCGGAUUUACUGGGUGUAAAGGGAGCGUAGACGGUGCGGCAAGUCUGGUGUGAAAGGCCGGGGCCUAACCCCGGGACUGCCGUGGAAACUGGCGAACUGGAGUGCGGGAGGGGUAAGCGGAAUUCCUGGUGUAGCGGUGAAAUGCUUAGAUAUCAGGAGGAACACCGGUGGCGAAGGCGGCUUACUGGACCGUAACUGACGUUGAGGCUCGAAAGCGUGGGGAGCAAACAGGAUUAGAUACCCGUGUAGUC
rnacentral:rRNA from 1 species